ACGAACGCUGGCGGCGUGCUUAACACAUGCAAGUCGAACGUGAUUUUUGUGGAAAUUCUUUCGGGAAUGGAAAUGAAAUGAAAGUGGCGAACGGGUGAGUAACACGUGAGCAACCUACCUUACACAGGGGGAUAGCCGUUGGAAACGACGAUUAAUACCGCAUGAGACCACAGAAUCGCAUGAUAUAGGGGUCAAAGAUUUAUCGGUGUAAGAAGGGCUCGCGUCUGAUUAGCUAGUUGGAAGGGUAAAGGCCUACCAAGGCGACGAUCAGUAGCCGGUCUGAGAGGAUGAACGGCCACAUUGGAACUGAGACACGGUCCAAACUCCUACGGGAGGCAGCAGUGGGGAAUAUUGCACAAUGGGGGGAACCCUGAUGCAGCGACGCCGCGUGAGCGAAGAAGGUUUUCGAAUCGUAAAGCUCUGUCCUAUGAGAAGAUAAUGACGGUACCAUAGGAGGAAGCCCCGGCUAAAUACGUG
rnacentral:rRNA from 1 species